rnacentral:rRNA from 1 species
GGGGGAUCUGACUACGCUCUAUAACCCUUUGUGACAUACCUAUAACUGUUGCUUCGGCGGGUAGGGUCUCCGCGACCCUCCCGGCCUCCCGCCUCCGGGCGGGUCGGCGCCCGCCGGAGGAUAACCAAACUCUGAUUUAACGACGUUUCUUCUGAGUGGUACAAGCAAAUAAUCAAAACUUUUAACAACGGAUCUCUUGGUUCUGGCAUCGAUGAAGAACGCAGCGAAAUGCGAUAAGUAAUGUGAAUUGCAGAAUUCAGUGAAUCAUCGAAUCUUUGAACGCACAUUGCGCCCGCCAGCAUUCUGGCGGGCAUGCCUGUUCGAGCGUCAUUUCAACCCUCAAGCUCUGCUUGGUGUUGGGGCCCUACAGCUGAUGUAGGCCCUCAAAGGUAGUGGCGGACCCUCCCGGAGCCUCCUUUGCGUAGUAACUUUACGUCUCGCACUGGGAUCCGGAGGGACUCUUGCCGUAAAACCCCCCAAUUUUCCAAAGGUUGACCUCGGAUCAGGUAGGAAUACCCGCUGAACUUAAGCAUAUCAAAG